UAGUACGGUGUGUUUAUAUUUUGUAUC
rnacentral:piRNA from 1 species